AUUGAACGCUGGCGGCAUGCCUUACACAUGCAAGUCGAACGGUAACAGGCCGCAAGGUGCUGACGAGUGGCGAACGGGUGAGUAAUGCAUCGGAACGUGCCCAGUAGUGGGGGAUAGCCCGGCGAAAGCCGGAUUAAUACCGCAUACGACCUGAGGGUGGAAGGGGGGGAUCGCAAGACCUCUCGCUAUUGGAGCGGCCGAUGUCAAAUUAGCUCGUUGGUGGGGUAAAGGCCUACCAAGGCAACGAUCUGUAGUUGGUCUGAGAGGACGACCAGCCACACUGGGACUGAGAGACGGCCCAGACUCCUACGGGAGGCAGCAGUGGGGAAUUUUGGACAAUGGGCGCAAGCCUGAUCCAGCAAUGCCGCGUGCAGGAAGAAGGCCUUCGGGUUGUAAACUGCUUUUGUACGGAACGAAAAGCCCUGGGUUAAUACCCUGGGGUCAUGACGGUACCGUAAGAAUAAACACCGGCUAACUACGUGCCAGCAGCCGCGGUAACAC
rnacentral:rRNA from 1 species